GCCUACAGCCAUACCACCGUGAAUGCUCCCAAUCUCAUCUGAUCUCAGAAGUUAAGCAGGGUCAGGCCUGGUUAAUACUUGGAUGGGAGAACUAUACUAAAUCAAUACUCAGCAGUGC
ensembl:rRNA 5S_rRNA 5S ribosomal RNA